UCCACACUACAAUUCUCACACACUCCUCGCUCAGAAAGAUCAUAACUCACACACGCCACAUUUUUUAGUAUUCUCAAUCACAAGUGAGUCUUCUUCUUCCUCUUCUUCUUCUCUUCUUUUAUUUGUAUUGCAUUAUUUAUGCUUUUUUUGAUUUUUUUUUACUCUUUUUUCUUUCAUUGGAUUCUGAUGAGUAUUCGAUCUUGGUAACAUUCUUAAUUUUUGGGAAAGAGAUGUGCAUUUUGAGACUAUGGUGUUAUAUCUAUUUGCUUCAAUAUUUUAAAUAUAGGAUUCAAUUUUUGUUGGAUUUUUGCAUUUGUUAUUAGCAUAGGUUACUAAACGAUCAACCAAAUGAAUGUUAUAUGUUGGACAUUUAAAUCUAUUUUUAUUGUCAUUAAAUAUUUUAUAUUUAAAUUUAUUUUUAUAUUUAUUUUUAAGAUAAAAAUUCAUAUAAAUUAGACUAUUGGGCCGAAGACGGAAAUUUUAAAUCCCCACCGGACCGGAGAUGGAAAAAUAUUUUAACCCCCGAUCGGAGAUUGAACCGGACACCAGAGGAGGGGUCUCCAUCCCCAUCUCUGUUUUUGGCCCAUUGCCAUCCCUGGUUCUAAUCAAUAAUUUUUCACCGUAGAGGAUCGGCACUUUCCGAGGAGACUCUCCCUAUUUACCUUUACCUUGUGAAUCACAAUUCCGCAAAACCGGCACUACCCUCGUCGAGGAGACUCCCCUCACGCAAGAUCACAGCAAACCCAAGCAAUUACUAUCUCAUCCCACCAUCGCAUAACCGAUGGAUUCCAAAGCUGAACUCCAAUUUGAGUACCUCCCUUUCAUCCGCACCUACAAGAGCGGCCUCGUCGAGCGCCUCUGCGGCACCGAAAUCCUCCCCGCCACCACAG
rnacentral:lncRNA from 1 species